UUAUCAUCUUAUUUGACUUAAAAUAACCCGCUAAAUAUUGAUUAUUGGAGGAGUUAAAGCAACAAAAAUCAGCGUUAAAUUUAUGCUAAUUCUUGAUGCUUUAACUCCUCCAGUAAUCGUCUCAGUCAAUAUGUAGCGGCCAUUAGACAUUUCGGAGCCAAGAACGCAAAAAAUCAACUAUGCUCUUCCCCGGAUUCGAAACCACGGAUAUUCCGAUGCUAGAUGGAUGUGCUCCCACCUGCGCCAUGAUAGUACAUAAAUAGAAAUACAAUAAUUCCUUAUAUUUGCCUCCGCUUUGAAAUACGACUGGAAAGAAGCGCAAAACCCAACCAGUAAAAUCCAGUUGGUGACAAAUUAUCAUCCAGCAUAUUUUAGUUCUGGCGCCAAAGAUAUAUUUUUCUGUUUUUUCAGACAUAGUAAAACUGAGAAAUCAGCUGUGCCCUGGCCUGGGUUCGAACCAUGGAUCUUGCAGCUGCCAGAUGAAGGUGCUAAUCACACUUACACCACGAGCAAUAAUUGAUUGCAAAUAAAGCCCAAGUUAUUAAUCUGAAGGAGUUUACUGACAACUAAAUUACUCUGAGUUACUAAAUCUAUAUAAUUACUCCAAACUAAAACAUGGUGUUUUGAAACGUUUCCUUUUCAUGCAGUCAUUAAAUUACACUUUCAUUAAAUUACAUUUUAAUAAUACUUGUGGCAGUGAAAAUACUUUGGGGGGGGGCGAAGUACUUUGCUCACUAUAAUAGGAAACAAAUAAAGAAAUUCUGAGUAAAAAUAAGCAAAAAUAAACAGGAAAAUGUCAUUGACUGCAGUUUUUUAAUAAUUUAGACCAGCUUUAACAAAAUGAGGAGGUUGCGGUGAACAUGGUAGAAGUUGCAGUACUUCCCGUGAAAGUUGAAGUGCUUCGUCGAAGGGUGCGUCGAAGCGGUGAUACUCGGAAUAAAUUUUUUCAAUCUUCCAACAAGAACACAGUAGAAGCUGCGCCAGUCGUAAGAUGGCUGUGAAGGAAACUUUCGACAGCUCCUCAGAAAUCUAAGUUAAGGGACGAAAUGCUGUUAUGCUUUCCAAAAACUGCGUCAUCUCAGAAGCGGCCACAAUCGUCGAUGCAGUAUGUUUUAUUUUCGACUGGAGGAUACGCCCAUGAAAAGUGCCCACCAACAGCCGAGAGGUAAAAUCUGAACACGGGUAGGCUUGCUCUCAUAAAUAUUACUAUGGGAUAAAACUGAGCAUAGUUCAAACGGUCCACAGCACUUGGAGUGAUGUCCAGUAUUGCAUGUUUCCCCUAAGAUACAAAAUUUUGUAUUAAAAUUUAAGAACUC